UACAGAGGUCUCAAGCGUUGUUUCGGAUUGUACAUUGGGCGUAAAGGGUGCGUAGGCGGCGCGGAUAAGUCGGGUGUCGAAAUCAUGGCUUAACUCCGAACUGCAUUCGAGUACUGCCGUGCUUGAGGACUGGAGAGGAGACUGGAAUUUACGGUGUAGCGGUGAAAUGCGUAGAUAUCGUAAGGAAGACCAGUGGCCGAAGGCCGGGGUCUCUGGACAGUUCCAUGACGCUGGAGGCACGAAGGCCAGGGGACGCAAAACGGG
rnacentral:rRNA from 1 species